CGUAGAUAAAACAACAAUAAAAGAGUAUAAUGGCCGACAACAGCAACAGUAGGACAACAAUUACAAAAGCAUAAUGGCCGACGACAGCAACAAUUCAGAAAUUAAAAAAAGUAUGAUGGCCGACAACGUCAACAAUAGGGCAACAAUUACAAUAGUAUAUAGGCCGACAACAGCAACAAUGGGACAACAAUUACAGAAGUAUAAUGGCCGACGACAGCAACAAUACAACUUUCUGAAUCUGGAUAAUGGGUUAAAAAUUCACAAGCGCUUAUUUAUCAUUAAGUUGGCGGAUUCAUAACUAUUUCAUAAAAUUUCAUUUUACAGGAACAUUAUAAAAGCUGUGGACGUUAUGUAUUAUAGGGCACAUCAGUCCUUCACUCCUGGAUGUAGCGGUGCCUUAAGGAAAUAUAAAAUAUGGCUUUUUCCACUGGAAACAGAUGCAUUGUGUUGUUGUUGCUAAAUGAAGGAUAUGUAACAAUCAAUUGGGACAUUAUAAAAGCUCUGGAGGCCAUGUGUUAUGGGGCACAUCAGUCCUUCUUGACUCCUGGAUGUAGUGGGAAGGAUUAAUGGAAACAGAUGCUGUAUGAUGCUGUUGCUAAAGACAGGAUUCAUCAAAAUGAAUUGGGACAUUAAAAAAGCUAUGGAAGCCAUGUGCUGUGAGGCAUAUCAGUUACUCUACACUCCUGGAUAUAGUGGUGUCUCAGAGAAAGGAUUAAUGGAAGCAAAUGCUACAUGUUGCUGUUGCUAAUCGAAGAAUUUAUCACAAUGAAUUGGGACAUUAUAAAAGCUCUGGAGGCCAUGUGUUAUGGGGCGCAUCAGUCCUUCUUGACUCCUGGAUGUAGUGGUGUCUCAAGGAAGGAUUAAUGGAAACAGAUGCUGUAUGAUGCUGUUGCUAAAGACAGGAUUCAUCAAAAUGAAUAGGGACAUUAUAAAUGCUCUGGAUGUCAUGUGCUGUGGGACAUUUCAGUUAUUCUACACUCCUGGAUUUAGUGGUGUCUCAAGGAAGGAUUAAUGGAAGCAAAUGCUACAUGUUGCUGUUGCUAAUAAACGGAUUUAUCAAAAUGAAUUGGGACAUUAUAAAAACUGGCAGAUGUCAUUAAAUUACGAAGGAUUAGAUGUGUCAGUCCUCAUUCGUUCCAGAAAGUAGUUGUACCGAUGCGAUGGUCCCAAAGAUAACAUGAAAUUAUUUUUUGCAUUGGAAACGGAGACACUUUGCUGUUGCUACAGAAAGGAAUCAUGAUAAUGAAGUGGUUGUCCCAAGAAUUAGAUGGAAUUGCAAUUAAUGUGAUGUUUUUGGACUUGAAAAGGGGAAACAACCGCAAAUCAAUUUGGAUGCCACUGAAACAACAAAUUGUCUGCAGUGAUAUCCCUUUUGGAUUUGGUUUGCUCAUCACACUUGUGGACUUUAGAACGCUACUUUCUACAGUUAAUUAAGGUCAACGGUGGAGAAGACAAAGAAGACCCCGUAGUUAAAAUA